UACGUAGGGUGCGAGCGUUAAUCGGAAUUACUGGGCGUAAAGCGUGCGCAGGCGGUUCGUUGUGUCUGAUGUGAAAGCCCCGGGCUCAACCUGGGAAUGGCAUUGGAAACUGGCGAGCUAGAGUGUGGCAGAGGGGGAUAGAAUUCCGCGUGUAGCAGUGAAAUGCGUAGAUAUGCGGAGGAACACCGAUGGCGAAGGCAAUCCCCUGGGCCUGCACUGACGCUCAUGCACGAAAGCGUGGGGAGCAGACAGG
rnacentral:rRNA from 1 species